GACGAACGCUGGCGGCGUGCUUAACACAUGCAAGUCGAACGGUGAAGCGAGUGCUUGCACUCGUGGAUCAGUGGCGAACGGGUGAGUAACACGUGAGUAACCUGCCCGUCACUCUGGGAUAAGCACUGGAAACGGUGUCUAAUACUGGAUACGACCAACCCUUGCAUGGGGUGUUGGUGGAAAGAUUUAUCGGUGAUGGAUGGACUCGCGGCCUAUCAGCUUGUUGGCGGGGUAAUGGCCCACCAAGGCGACGACGGGUAGCCGGCCUGAGAGGGUGACCGGCCACACUGGGACUGAGACACGGCCCAGACUCCUACGGGAGGCAGCAGUGGGGAAUAUUGCACAAUGGGCGAAAGCCUGAUGCAGCGACGCCGCGUGAGGGAUGACGGCCUUCGGGUUGUAAACCUCUUUCAGCAGGGAAGAAGCGAAAGUGACGGUACCUGCAGAAGAAGCACCGGCUAACUACGUG
rnacentral:rRNA from 1 species